AGUUACUGACAAUGAUAAGUUACAGUUUACGGUCAAGGCAAAAUUCUAGCUCUGGGCUUGUCAACUGGAUCAAUAUGAGCUGAGUUAACAGUAGUAGAGAACUGUUUCACGCAGCUGUUGUGAACUGCUGCCUGAUUUAUUCACCUGAUUCUGCUCUGGGGUUGCCCAGGGUGGAAAAGCCAAAGGUGGAGCCCACAUCAGAAGAUUUCUGUACAGUUUCUUUGAGUGUGGCUUCUUUCACUUGGCGUAAUACAUCUGAGAUCAUCUGUGAUGCCUGAAUAGCUGUUCAUUCCUUUUUCCUGCUGAGUAGUAUUCCAUGAUGAGGCACCUGCUGCUCAAAGAAGUGAAGAAACUUGCUCGAGAUCACGAAGUCAUCAAGUGGAGGAGUUGUAUUUGCACUUAGAUGGUCUCACCCUCCAGUCUUAAACAUUAUUCUGUGUUACCUCCCAAGAAGAGGGGUAUUCCCCACGUGGCUCUGCUGUUAAAGAUAGGAUGAGGUCUCUGGGAAGGAGAUGACCUCCUGAGGGCCACGCAUGUGAAGAAAGAGGAAGUGGCGGAGGAGCAAGAAGGAGAAGAUAUGGCUAUCAGUUCAGGAAGUGCUCUCCGGUCUAUUCCCACGAGGUAGAUGCUGUGAUGGUCUUCCCAUCAGCCGUGCUGGGAAAGAACUGAAUUCUAUUCCAUGGAUCACCUGGCCUGGUCUCCACAAAAGCUCUGGAGUGAGUAGGAGUGGGCUGCUGACUCCACAACCACAUGAGAUGAGGAUUCUGAGGGACAGGGAAGUCACCAGACUUGCCCAAGGCCUUUCAGCGAGCAAACUGCAGACAGUGCUCAAAGAUUGGAGAUGCUACUGAAGUUAGUCAAACAGAGUGAACCCUAGGGCCCAAAAAGACUGCAGCUGCCCUGCCACUUGUCAGCAGUAAGGAUGUGUAAACCUGGGCCGCCAGGGUCACCACAUGCCCAGUAAUGAAGAAAGACAGAGAACAAAGACAAGUGGAAAUAUGAAAGGAAGACUAAGUCCUGAUUAUGUGAUUUGGACUCCUGGAUCCAGCCAUUCCUGAUGGAAAAUCAGAAAUUCCUCUUGUGCCCCAGGCAAGCCUUUCAGAGAAGAACUUUGUAACCCCACAGAGGAAGAAAACAAGAGAAACAACAGACAGGUAAGAAAGUUAUUGUAACUAACUUGUAGCCCUAAAGUCAAUAUUUUGAUCAAUCACACAUGUCAUUUUCAGACACUUAAGACCCCAAAUCCAUUUUUCUGCAUUGUAAAGCCUGGGACAGAGCUUCUGCCUUUUGUUGGUCAUGUUUUCACUGCUGAAUCCCCAGGGAGUGUUCAAGAAGAAGAGAAAGAUGAAAGGGCUCUUUACUACUGAUAACUUUGAUUCCAGCCCCAGCAAAGCACUGGAUUUGGGAAUCAGCACAUCCUCUUGUUGAGUCAGGCAGCCAGCUAGCUGACGAGAGCAAGCUGUUGCUCUGGACAUGGCCGUAGGCACAGGGGCUGGUAUGCCCUCUCUCUGCAGCCCUGGCCAGAACCCUACUGCUCGGCAGGGAGCACAUCUGUAUGGGAUCACAGAGGCUCCAGCAAUGUUAAAAUGCUCAUGAAAAGAAGGCACAGUAGACGGCAUUUUCCCUAUCAUCAUCACCAUUCUUAUUAUAUCUUUGCAAAGGUUCAAACAUUAUUAAGUCGCCCACCCCCAAAAUAGAAACCCCCCCUUUUUCCCAGGAGGAGUGUAGGAAGGAAGGUCAACUCCAGGACAGCUCACAAUGAAUCGUGAAGCCUAAAAAUGACAGACACCCAAAAGGAAUAAAAGCAUCACAUCCAGCUGCAGCAGCCCCCAAAUGAGUAACACAUUCACACUGUCUACCAUUUCGAGUCAUUUUUCUGAUUCUAUGAUGCCGUAGCAGAUAACAAAUGUUCUUUAUGAGGCUAAAGAAAUGGCACACAUACCUAGCAUAGGUUUAAGUUACUUUCAUUGUCUUACUGAAUCUUCUAACAGUAAAGUUGUUCUAUUGGGUAGUAUUUUUCUUUUUUUUUUUUUUGUCUUUUUGGGGACGCACCUAUGGCAUAGGGAGGUUCCCAGGCUAGGGGUCUAAUUGAAGCUAUGGCUGCUGACCUGUGCCAGAGCCACAGCAACACCAAAUCCGAGCCAUGUCUGCGACCUACACCACAGCUCACAGCAACACCAGAUCCUCAACCCAGUGAGUGAGGCCAGGGAUCACACCCACAACCUCAUGGUUCCUAGUUGGAUUCGUUUCUGCAGCACCACAUCGGGAACUCCAGGUAGUAUUUCUUUUAAAUCAGAUGUCAAAAGAGAAAAAAGAAGCAUCAUUUUCAACUACUCCCUAAACACUGAAGGAUAUUCUAGGACCCAGGACAGCCUCAUGCAACCAACAAUGUCCCUUGGCCAACUGCUAAAUUUAACAUCAUCUGGUGUUCAGGUCAAAGAGAUUCUCUUUUCCCUACAAGGUUACAGAAACUGAAGAAAAAGACAGUUCUAACUGCAUGUUGUGUGUGCAUGAACUUAUGGAGAACACAUCAUGGCUUCCAGGGGCAGCAAAUACUGACCCAACACUGCUCAGGAACAAGAGACAAGAAUAGAGCUAAUCUUGUAAGGAAUUUACUCUUUGUCCAGGAAAACUGGUAAGAACACACAAGAAAGGGUUGGAUAAAAAGAAGCCUAAAGCAUUUUUUUUCAGUGACCACCCCCAUGCUCUCACCCCCACCUGGAUGCAGCAGGACAUAUUGAAACUGUGAUCUUUGCACGUCCAAUACCAAAGUUUCUUUGGGAGUUUACUAGAGUGCAGAAUCCUAGGCCUUACCUAAGACUUACUGAAUAAGAAUCUGUAGGACUGGACAUAAGGGGUUGUAUUUAUUUUUUUAUUUUUAGGAACUUCCUGAUUGAUUCUUUCAUACCUCAAAUUUUUGCAAUCACUGUCAAGUCCAGAAGGGUUUAGGGUUAACUUGGCCAUAUCAUGGCUGGAGGGAAAUAGUCCUGAAAAUGGUACAUUUUAAUAAAAUUUGAUUAAAAUAUGGUUUUUAAAUGUGCUAGGAACUUUGAUCAAACAUGAAAAAUAUUUCCUCAACCACUUUGAUGUCUUGAAACUGGGUUCCGGCUUGUUUUGGCCAUUUUUAUGAAAUGGUUCCCAUAUCUGGGAAGACCAGAGCCGGGAGAAGAAAAAAAAAAAAA
rnacentral:lncRNA from 1 species